rnacentral:rRNA from 1 species
UACGUAGGGGGCAAGCGUUAUCCGGAUUUAUUGGGCGUAAAGGGCUCGUAGGCGGUUCGUCGCGUCCGGUGUGAAAGUCCAUCGCUUAACGGUGGAUCCGCGCCGGGUACGGGCGGGCUUGAGUGCGGUAGGGGAGACUGGAAUUCCCGGUGUAACGGUGGAAUGUGUAGAUAUCGGGAAGAACACCAGUGGCGAAGGCGGUUUACUGGACCACAACUGACGCUGAGACACGAAAGCGUGGGGAGCAAACAGG